rfam:Coniochaeta ligniaria NRRL 30616 unplaced genomic scaffold CONLIGscaffold_1, whole genome shotgun sequence.
GGACAGAUGGCCGAGCGGUCUAAGGCGCUACGUUCAGGCAUUCGUCCACCACGGACACCGCCCGCUUCGUAGUCUCGCAAGAGGCGUGGGUUCGAAUCCCACUCUGUUCA